UACAGAGGGUGCAAGCGUUGUUCGGAAUUACUGGGCGUAAAGCGCGUGUAGGCUGCGGAGUGAGUCGGAUGUGAAAUCCCUUGGCUUAACCAAGGAAGUGCAUCCGAUACUGUUUCGCUUGAGUGUCGGAGGGAUGGCGGAAUUCCCGGUGUAGAGGUGAAAUUCGUAGAUAUCGGGAGGAACACCUGUGGCGAAGGCGGCCAUCUGGACGACAACUGACGCUGAGACGCGAAAGCGUGGGUAGCAAACAGG
rnacentral:rRNA from 1 species